UGUGUAUAGCUCAAUCGGGUAGGGCAGCAGACUCAUAAUCUGCGGGUUGCGGGUUCGACUCCCGUUACACAGCCA
rnacentral:tRNA from 1 species